rnacentral:rRNA from 1 species
GAUCCUGGCUCAGAAUCAACGCUGGCGGCGCGCUUAACACAUGCAAGUCGAACGAGAAAGCCCGCAAGGGUGAGUAAAGUGGCGUACGGGUGAGUAACACGUGGGUAAUCUACCUUUUGGUGGGGAAUAACCCUGGGAAACCGGGGCUAAUACCGCAUAAGCUCGAAAGAGGAAAGGAGCAAUUCGCCGAAAGAGGAGCCCGCGGCUGAUUAGCUAGUUGGUGAGGUAAAGGCUCACCAAGGCUAUGAUCGGUAGCCGGCCUGAGAGGGCACACGGCCACACUGGCACUGAAACACGGGCCAGACUCCUACGGGAGGCAGCAGUGGGGAAUCUUGCACAAUGGGGGAAACCCUGAUGCAGCGACGCCGCGUGAGUGAUGAAGCCCUUCGGGGUGUAAAGCUCUUUCGGCAGGGACGAUAAUGACGGUACCUGAAGAAGAAGCUGCGGCUAACUACGUGCCAGCAGCCGCGGUAAUACGUAGGCAGCGAGCGUUGUUCGGAGUUACUGGGCGUAAAGAGUGCGUAGGCGGUUUUCUAAGUUUGGUGUGAAAUCUCCCGGCUUAACUGGGAGGGUGCGCCGAAGACUGGAAGGCUUGAGUAUGGGAGAGGUAAGCGGAAUUCCUGGUGUAGCGGUGAAAUGCGUAGAUAUCAGGAGGAACACCUGCGGUGUAGACGGCUUACUGGACCAUAA